CAGAAUGUGGGUGAGGGUGGCGCCUAUGAGGCUGAGCUUCGGGUCACCGCCCCUCCAGAGGCUGAGUACUCAGGACUCGUCAGACACCCAGGGGUGAGAUGAGACUCUCGAGUGGGAUUUGGGAGGAUACCCCUCUAGAGGGGACACCAAAACCUGACCAGUGCCCACCCCAUCUCCAGAACUUCUCCAGCCUGAGCUGUGACUACUUUGCCGUGAACCAGAGCCGCCUGCUGGUGUGUGACCUGGGCAACCCCAUGAAGGCAGGAGCCAGUCUGUGGGGUGGCCUUCGGUUUACAGUCCCUCAUCUCCGGGACACUAAGAAAACCAUCCAGUUUGACUUCCAGAUCCUCAGGUAGGGAGUGAGUGUGUCUAGGCUGGGGCUGAGCUGGGGACGGAAGGGAGGGCUGGGCGCCAUUCUCACUGGCUGCACUCCAGCACCUCAGUCUUGCCUCCAUCCCACAGCAAGAAUCUCAACAACUCGCAAAGCGACGUGGUUUCCUUCCGGCUCUCCGUGGAGGCUCAGGCCCAGGUCACCCUGAACGGGUCAGUGCCAGGCAGAAUGGGGUCU
rnacentral:sRNA from 1 species